rnacentral:rRNA from 1 species
GACGAACGCUGGCGGCGUGCUUAACACAUGCAAGUCGAACGGAAAGGCCCUGCUUUUGUGGGGUGCUCGAGUGGCGAACGGGUGAGUAACACGUGAGUAACCUGCCCUUGACUUUGGGAUAACUUCAGGAAACUGCGGCUAAUACAGGAUAGGAGCUCCUGCUGCAUGUGGGGGGUUGGAAAGAUUCGGCGGUGCGGGAUGUACUCGCGGCUUAUCAGCUUGUUUGUGGGGUAGUUGCUGACAAAGCUUUUGACGGGUAGCCGGCCUGAGAGGCUGACCGGCCACAAUGGGACUGAGAGAGGGACCAGACUGCUACGGGAGGCAGUAGUGGGGAAUAUUGCACAAUGGGGGGAAGCCAGAGGCAGCAACGCUGCGUGCGGGAUGACGUCCUUUGGGUUGUAAACCGCUUUCGCAUGUGAUGAAGCGUGAGUGACGGUAAUGGGUAAAGAAGCACCGGCUAACUACGUG